ACUCAAAGGAAUUGACGGGGGCCCGCACAAGCAGCGGAGCGUGUGGUUUAAUUCGAGGCUACACGAAGAACCUUACCUGGACUUGACAUGGAGAGGAACGAAGGUGAAAGCCUGAGGUUCGCAAGACCUCUUCACAGGUGCUGCAUGGCUGUCGUCAGCUCGUGUCGUGAGAUGUUAGGUUAAGUCCUGUAACGAGCGCAACCCCCGGUGGUAGUUACACGGUGUCUACCGCUACUGCCUGCGUAAGUGGGAGGAAGGUGGGGAUGAUGUCAAGUCAGCAUGGCCUUUAUGUCCAGGGCUACACACACGCUACAAUGGUCGGUACAACAGGAUGCCAAGCGGCAACGCGGAGCAAAUCCUCUCAAAGCCGAUCUCAGUUCAGAUUGUGGGCUGCAACCCGCCCACAUGAAGUCGGAGUUGCUAGUAACCGCGCGUCAGCCAUAGUGCGGUGAAUACGUUCCCGGGCCUUGUACACACCGCCCGU
rnacentral:rRNA from 1 species